rnacentral:tRNA from 1 species
UUAAUUGAAGCCAAAAAGAGGCAAUUUAUUGUUAAUAAGUUAAUUAUAAUUAUUUAUCAAUUAAG